rnacentral:Y_RNA from 1 species
ACUGGGUCCAAAGAUAGUGCAUUAUCCUGACCGUUUAUAGCCAAGUUACAAAUCAAACUCUUUGUUUUACUCCUUCCCCCCUUCUCAUUACUGCAUUUGACUAAAA